rnacentral:misc_RNA from 1 species
UCACCCCUCAAGCCCUAGCCUGGUGUUGGACUUUAGUCAUAGCUUCGCCUAUCGACUGGUCUCAAAGAUAGUGACGGCGCCCCAGAGGGAACCGGGUACGAGGAGCUUUUUAAUAAGCAUGUAUCUGGGACGACCCUGAUGGACGACGGUCUUGUUAUACUUUUACCUAAGUG